ensembl:snRNA U1 U1 spliceosomal RNA
AUACUUACCUGGCAGGGGCGAUACCAUGACCACGAAGGUGGUUCACCCAGGGCGAGGCUCUGCCGUUGCACUUGGGUGGAAUUCCCCAAUUGCGGGAAUCCCAACUGCAUAAUUUCUGGUAGUGGGGGACAGUGUUUACGCUUGG